UACGUAGGGGGCAAGCGUUGUCCGGAUUUAUUGGGCGUAAAGAGCGUGUAGGUGGCUAGGUAGGUCCGUUAUGAAAACUCGAGGCUCAACCUCGAGACGCCGAUGGAAACCAUCUAGCUAGAGUCCGGAAGAGGAGAGUGGAAUUCCUGGUGUAGCGGUGAAAUGCGCAGAUAUCAGGAAGAACACCCGUGGCUAAGGCGGCUCUCUAGUACGGUACUGACGCUGAGACGCGAAAGCGUGGGGAGCGAACAGG
rnacentral:rRNA from 1 species